CUACUCUCAACCUACCUGGUGGAGGGAGGUAGCCAUGAAACAACACACUUCCACAUGACGAUCGCUCCAGUUCUUCACAAAGCAGUAAGCGUCGGACUGACCAUAUCAGUGACAAACAGAGAUGUAAGCUCAGUCAGCAUGACAAUAGAGUGGCACUUCCUCUCCCAUACCAUUCGCCAGAAGUCCUGCACAGUGUGAGCUAAAGGUGCCUGAGUAGCUAUAAAGUAAUCCUUCUUCCUAUAACCCUGCAAAGGUAAUGCUCUAAAAGUGCCUGAUAAAUGAAUGAAUACUGCAUCUGUGGGCGAGAGAGAAGAAAUCAGUGGCCAGUCACUGCUGAAAUGAGUCCAAUACAGAAGAAGGACUGCACAAAGU